UUUUAUGAGAGUUUGAUCCUGGCUCAGGACGAACGCUGGCGGCGUGCCUAAUACAUGCAAGUCGAACGCUUCUUUUUCCACCGGAGCUUGCUCCACCGGAAAAAGAGGAGUGGCGAACGGGUGAGUAACACGUGGGUAACCUGCCCAUCAGAAGGGGAUAACACUUGGAAACAGGUGCUAAUACCGUAUAACAAUCGAAACCGCAUGGUUUUGAUUUGAAAGGCGCUUUCAGGUGUCGCUGAUGGAUGGACCCGCGGUGCAUUAGCUAGUUGGUGAGGUAACGGCUCACCAAGGCCACGAUGCAUAGCCGACCUGAGAGGGUGAUCGGCCACAUUGGGACUGAGACACGGCCCAAACUCCUACGGGAGGCAGCAGUAGGGAAUCUUCGGCAAUGGACGAAAGUCUGACCGAGCAACGCCGCGUGAGUGAAGAAGGUUUUCGGAUCGUAAAACUCUGUUGUUAGAGAAGAACA
rnacentral:rRNA from 1 species